GAUGGGGAGCGAAAUUUAGUAGCGAAGUAGCUGAUUUCACACUGUCAAGAAAAGUCUCUAUCGAGGGUAAAGGUACCCGUACCGCAAACCGACACAGGGGGGUGAGGAGAGUAUCCUAAGGCCAGCGAGAGAACUGUUGUUAAGGAACUCGGCAAAAUGACCCCGUAACGUAGGGAUAAGGGGGGCAACAACCGGGUGGCCGCAGAGAGGAGGCGCA
rnacentral:rRNA from 1 species